rnacentral:rRNA from 1 species
AGAGUUUGAUCCUGGCUCAGAGCGAACGCUGGCGGCAGGCUUAACACAUGCAAGUCGAGCGGGCGUAGCAAUACGUCAGCGGCAGACGGGUGAGUAACGCGUGGGAACGUACCUUUUGGUUCGGAACAACACAGGGAAACUUGUGCUAAUACCGGAUAAGCCCUUACGGGGAAAGAUUUAUCGCCGAAAGAUCGGCCCGCGUCUGAUUAGCUAGUUGGUGAGGUAACGGCUCACCAAGGCGACGAUCAGUAGCUGGUCUGAGAGGAUGAUCAGCCACAUUGGGACUGAGACACGGCCCAAACUCCUACGGGAGGCAGCAGUGGGGAAUAUUGGACAAUGGGCGCAAGCCUGAUCCAGCCAUGCCGCGUGAGUGAUGAAGGCCCUAGGGUUGUAAAGCUCUUUUGUGCGGGAAGAUAAUGACGGUACCGCAAGAAUAAGCCCCGGCUAACUUCGUGCCAGCAGCCGCGGUAAUACGAAGGGGGCUAGCGUUGCUCGGAAUCACUGGGCGUAAAGGGUGCGUAGGCGGGUCUUUAAGUCAGGGGUGAAAUCCUGGAGCUCAACUCCAGAACUGCCUUUGAUACUGAGGAUCUUGAGUUCGGGAGAGGU